GACGGAGGGGGCUAGCGUUGUUCGGAAUCACUGGGCGUAAAGGGCGCGUAGGCGGCCAAGUAAGUUAGAGGUGAAAGCCUGGGGCUUAACCUCAGAAUUGCCUUUAAUACUGCUUGGCUGGAGUUUGGUAGGGGAUAGUGGAAUUCCUAAUGUAGAGGUGAAAUUCGUAGAUAUUAGGAGGAACACCAGUGGCGAAGGCGACUGUCUGGGCCAAUACUGACGCUGAGGCGCGAAAGCGUGGGGAGCAAACAGG
rnacentral:rRNA from 1 species